GACAGUCAGGGUUGAACGAACAUCAGGACGAUGUGCUCAUGGAAUGAGUUGGACCCGUCAGGAUGACGUAUCAGGGAAAGGCUUCCGGAUGAAGCGUGGAAACCUCAGGGAGAGGUAAAGGACACCUCCAGGACGGAGAAUGUGGACCGAACAAGGUAGUCGGUGAUCAUGGACGUCAAAGGAUUCGCAUCAGGAUGGUGCACGCUAUGGAGAGUGUCAGGAAUAGUUUUCAAGGAUGAGCAGGGAGCAUAAAUGUAGCUGGAACGCUGCAAACGGACCAGGGGCACUGUAUAUACAGUGCCCCUUUUUUCGUUG
rnacentral:other from 1 species